UACUUUUUAGGGAGAGAAAAAUUCUCUCUAUCUUUUGAUUUUUUCUCUUAAGGUUUCAUAUUUUUAUUCUAUUAUAGUUGGCGAUUUUUCCCUGCCCUUUUGGGUGGGGGAGGCUGCCCUCCCAGUUUGUGGGUUCCUUUCUGCCUCAGGAGAAUCGAAGAGGGUUUUGUCGUGGCUGUUAUAGCUUCGUGGUUAUUACUUCUGGGUUCUCUGUGUGCAGGUUUGAUUCUCAUCGGAAAGGGCUUAGGUGCAACCUUGCAGAGUUUCGUGUUGUGUUAGUUGUUUUCUUUUUGUUUAUGUCUCUGUUGUUAGUGUUGAGAACAAUGCCAAAUGGUGGUGUUAAUGGGAAAGGCUUUUGGUGCUGGUUUCAGUGAAGGUUGAUCUUGAGCUGGCGGCGACACAAGAGUCUUUUCCCACAUCUAAAGUGGCCGACUUUCUAAGCUUUGAACAGCUGUGAAGCUUGAUUGCCACCUUUGCUGCAUCUUUUGUUGGCACACCUAUGGUUAGGGUUCUACGUUUUGGUUCUGGCACAUCCUUGGUUUGCUUUGUACUGGUAGUGUUUGAACCCUUCGUGCUUCCCUGUGUUUUGAUCCCAGUGACAGCCUAUGAAGAUGGUGGCGGCGAUGACAGCAGCAGGCUGCUGUUUUCCUUUUGUCAUAGCUAGGUUUUGGUUUAUAGGAUUGGGUUACUGUGUUGAGCUUGUAAAGCUUUGGUUAACCAUGGAUUGUAUGUAUUUGAGCUGGGUUUCAAUAUGGUCUAGACUCUUGGUCUAUUUUAUUUAGCUCUUAUAAUUGGACUUGGCCCAUGUAUUUUCAUUCUCAUUAAUGAUAACUCUAUCUUUGAGAAAAAAAAAAUACAUCAAAAUUAA